rnacentral:rRNA from 1 species
AUUGAACGCUAGCGGGAUGCUUUACACAUGCAAGUCGAACGAGUGGCGGACGGGUGAGUAAUAUAUCGGAACGUGCCCAAUAGCGGGGGAUAACUACUCGAAAGAGUGGCUAAUACCGCAUACUAUUAGAGCGGCCGAUAUGGGAUUAGCUAGUUGGUGGGGUAAAGGCUCACCAAGGCCACGAUCCGUAGCUGGUUUGAGAGGACGACCAGCCAAACUGGGACUGAGACACGGCCCAGACUCCUACGGGAGGCAGCAGUGGGGAAUGUUGGACAAUGGGGGAAAGCCUGAUGCAGCCAUGCCGCGUGUAUGAGAAGGCCUUCGGGUUGUAAAGUACUUUUGGCGGGGAAGCGGUAUCUGCAGAAUAAGCACCGGCUAACUCCGUGCCAGCAGCCGCGGUAAUUC